AAGGUAUUGUAUGAGCAAAUGGAAAUAGCGCACCUAAAGCCAAAGGGGUUCAGGAAUGCUGCGUAAGAGCACUUUUCUCCUCAACUGGUUGCCUUCAUUGUUUGCCUUUUUCUGGCAUAAAUUUUUCUCUGCAGUAAUUUUUCUGCCUCAGGCAGGUGGGUGUACUUUAAAUUGCUGGACCAAGUGACAGAAUUUCAGCAUCCUCUUUAACACCUUGCACAUACCUAAAGCAUUUCUGCACCAACAUCUACGUCUCAGACUUCUCAAGCCAACCCUGCUUUGCUGAUACCAAACACUACUCAUUUCAUCCAAACAAUAGAACUACCUGCCUCCAAGUUGAAUUGCUGCACAUAUUCCAAUUUGUACUCAA